UACGUAGGUGGCAAGCGUUGUCCGGAUCUAUUGGGUUUAAAGGGUGCGUAGGCGGCUUUGUAAGUCAGUGGUGAAAUAUGGCAGCUCAACUGUCAAGGUGCCAUUGAUACUGCGGAGCUUGAGUACAGAUGAGGUAGGCGGAAUUGACGGUGUAGCGGUGAAAUGCUUAGAUAUCGUCAAGAACACCUAUAGCGAAGGCAGCUUACUAGGCUGUAACUGACGCUGAGGCACGAAAGUGUGGGGAUCAAACAGG
rnacentral:rRNA from 1 species